rnacentral:tRNA from 1 species
GCGCCCGUAGCUCAGGUGGAUAGAGUGUCGGCCUCCGAAGCCGAAGGUCACAGGUUCAAGUCCUGUCGGGCGCGCCA